UGUGUGUGUGUGUGUGUGUGUUGACUUGGUUGAUACACAAAGACACAAAAGAAACGGUUGCAAAAGUAAAUCCUCACUCACAACUCAUAACCUACUGUUCAAUGUGAAUUUUGAUACACGUGAGAAGGGACAUG
ensembl:snoRNA LOC120100463 small nucleolar RNA SNORA40